CCGGCGGGGACAGACGGCCCCGGGCGCCAGGGCUGGGCCGAUCCCGGCUGCCCGCCGGGGUUUAUCCCGUGAUGUCCCGCAGGAAAAGCGGCUCCAUCAGCUCCGGCAUCGUCUGUGCAUCCUGAGCGGAGCGGGGAGGGGAGGACCGGGGGCGGCUCUGCCCAGCAGCGCUGCCCGCAGCCCCCGCCGCCUCCUCCUCCUCCCUCCCUCGCCAUGCUGGACAUUUUCAUCCUGAUGUUUUUCGCCAUCAUCGGCCUGGUGGUCCUGUCCUACAUCAUUUACAUGCUCUGAGGAGCCGCCGCCGCCGAGGAUGCGGCUCAGCAGCGGCCUCGCCCCCCGAGCGGCGGCCAGCCUCCGCCCGGUGCGCGUCCCUCGGAGCCUUCUGGAACAGCGUUAACCUCUGCGAGCCCGGCUCGGAGCACGGAGCGGUCACGGAGCCGGGAACGGCAAUGGGGGGACACGGAAGGGGGCUCCGAGGGGAUGUCCCGCUGCCGGGACCCGGCUAAUCCCGCUGUCAGGACCUGAAUCCUUCACCCUGUCAGGACCCGAGUCCUUCACCCUGUCAGGACCCGAGUCCUUCACCCUGUCAGGACCUGAAUCCUUCACCCUGCCAGGACCUGAGUCCUUCACCCUGUCAGGACCUGAGUCCUUCACCCUGUCAGGACCCGAGUCCUCCACCCUGCCAGGACCCGGCUAAUCCCCCUGUCAGGACCUGAAUCCUUCACCCUGCCAGGACCUGAGUCCUUCACCCUGCCAGGACCCGAGUCCUUCACCCUGCCAGGACCUGGCUAAUCCCCCUGUCAGGACCUGAGUCCUUCACCCUGCCAGGACCCGAGUCCCCCCCGCUCCGGGACCUGGGAUGCUCCCGGUGACGCCGCGGUGUCCCCAAGGGGAUGGGAAGGGUCCUGUCCCCCCCUUGUGUCCCGUCCCCUCGGUCCGAGGCCGCUCGUCCGGGCUCAGUUUUAGGCAGCGGUUUCUGUUUUUGAUGCGCGAUGUUCAGGGAGCGGAAUAAAGAGGAAUGACCCGGGAGAGGG